AAUACUAACGCAGCUAGCUUAGAGGAGAAGAUACUAGCUCUUAGUGAAGUAUUGAAGCCAUCUAUGAAAUUAAGGCACAUUUUCCGGGAAAUGUCAACAUGACGAACAGGAGAUCAGGUGUCCACACACCAGUAUUAAGAUUCAAUUCCUAUAAUAUAACAUUUCCCCCCAAAAGUAAUUUUAAAAAUUUAAUCCAUCCAUCCGGUUUUGUACCGCUUAUCCUCACGAGGGUCGCGGGGGUGCUGGAGCCUAUCCCAGCUGAUUGUGGGCGCGAGGCAGGGUACACCCUGGACUGGUCACAAAAGUCAAUAUGUUAUUUUAUUUGGUUUGUUUAUGAUACUACUAUGAGUUUUUAAAACAUAUUUUUUAAAGUAAUAAAAAUAAUUCCAACUAAAUGCUAAUGUAGACGUUGUGUUCCUGAAGCCUGCACAGCCUCAGCACGGAAAAAAAAGCAAGAUCGGAGACAAAGUGUUGAUUAUUUCCCCCCUGGCUCGGGUUUGUAUUUUAUUCAUCAGGACUCGAUGCAUCCACGUUUAGGAUCAUUCGGUUUUGGCACCUUUUUAAAGAUUUCUUUUUCCAUUUGAACAAGACGUCAAAAAGAAAAGAAGAAGAAAUGAACGGCUAAGGCUGUGUGAGUUGUUUUCCAAAAUAAAAGACAUACAUACUGUAUAUAUUCAUAUAUAUUUAGAAAUUCCUCAACCAAACUUCUAGUUAUGGGGGGGGGAGCGGUGUUGUGGUUUGUUUGGUUUGGCCGACAAAGCCAAAAAUCAUCAAAAGAAAAUAACCAUGGAAAAGAAGUACACAUGACAACUGAAGUCGUUCAAUUAGCAUGCAGUUCUUGUUGACGUAGCGCGUCACGUAGCCUCUCCGGUACUUCUCGCUCAUGUUUGGCCUCCUCCUCUUUUGCUCUUUUCCUGCUCCGUGCUUUCUUGUUUUUUGCCUCAAAUCCCAUCUCAAGUUUUCGGAGCUGCGUGGAAAAGACAGCCAAGCGGGACGGAGAGAAAAAGAGGAGAAGGUUCUAUGGAGAAAAGCAAAAAGAAGAAUAGAUAUACGGAAUUCUAAGCGUCUCCUGGAGCAGAUACUAAAAGAGUCUUUUGUCAACAACAGCACUUGAACUCUUUUUUUGCUUCCGUCUUGAUUAUUGAUGGUUUCUUUAGAAAAGUAAUACAUUUAUAUAUAUUUAUAUUCAUAUUUAUAUUAAUACUAGAGUGUACAGCUUGGGCUCAGGCUGUAAUAAUUCACAGUUUCAAUGCAAAAGUCCCAAAAAUAAAGCAGGUGUUUAUCUUGAACGGCAAAAGGCUAUGACGUCAUGAAGGCCCCCCCCCACCCUCCCGUGGACGUGGAAGAGUCAUGCAGAAACAGAAGACGGUUCUAGAAAGAUGGAGGCAAAGGGCGGUCGGGCCUCAUACGGGCGUGGUGCGGCGGUUGGCCGCGUUGCUGGAGUCCUUCAGCUCCUUCUGGAUGCAGUUGUGGACCUGCAGGAAGUUGUGGUCCCGCUCCGAGUUGUAGGUGGGCGUGCCCGAGGACUUGAGGGUGUCCCUGGGCAGCGUGUACAUGGAGAUCUCGGUGGACGGCAGCGCGCCGAAGCCCUUCAGGCCCACCGGCGAGGCGUCGCGGGAGUGCGAGGGGUCCGUGGAGCGAGACGAGGACCGCGAGCGGCGCCGGUAGCGGUAGCGGUAGCUGGGGAUCCUGCUGAUGGCCGAGCCCUGGAGGUAGUCGGCCGCCCGCGCCCCCAUCCGCAGCUGCCGGUGGCGGUCGAUGAACAUGUGCACGGCCAGCACGCCCACCAUCUCCGCCAUGAUGAAGGACAGAGCGCCGAAGUAGAAGGACCAGCCGUACGAGUAGCUGUUCUUCUUGGAGUCGCUCUUGGAGGGGUCCCCCGCGUUGGCUGAUAUGUACACGAUGAUUCCGAUGAUGUUGCUCAAGCCUGGAGGACGACAGGAGGUCAAGAGGUCAGGAGAAUAUGCAGCAGGUUGCACUUUGGACGCCCCCGGCCCCCGGCCCCCGGCGCCCCCUGCCAGCCAGGGCGAGUUGGCUCUGCCGCCCCGACUAUGAAGAUCCCUGCACUGAGGAUGAUGUUGUGUCGAGACUUGUAGAACUCACUGGCGGCGAUACACAAGCCUCCCAUGAAGAGCAGGAUGACGCUGAGGAUGGGGAAGAUGCUGGACGCUCGCACCGCUCCUGC